UGACUCACCUGAGCAGUUCCUCCAAAGGCUGGUUGUGUUCUCCCUGCUUUAGUCGGCUACUAAGGACACAGAGGGCUGAGUACAGUAAAUUCUGAUUUUCAGGUUGAGAAAGUCCACUCCUAAGGAAGUCAAGGCACUGCUUUUAAGUACUGAGGAUAUAAAAAUGACAGAUAUCUGCCUCCAUGGAGCUCAGAGUCUAGCAGGGUUCCCUCGAGUCUCACUGUUUCCACGAAGGUAUCAUGAAAUAGUCCAGCUUACACUGUGUUCAGCCCGUAACCAAACAAUCUGGAAUUAAAGCAUGCUAAAGGAAACUGGACUGAGGAUCAGAUGGCCAGAUUUGUUAUACGUGAGCUCAUCAGCAAGUAACCUAAUUUGUCAAAUGGGUUAACAAUAGUGGCUCCAAAGAACUCAGAAGUGCCUUGGUAACUGAUUGUCAAGUAAAAGCAAGUAUAUACUUAUUUCUCUCCACACUUCCCACAUACUCACCAAGCAAAAAGCCCAUGAAAAAUCUGCAGCAGCCGCUGAUAGCAGGAAGACAUUAU